CUAAGUCAGCCACGAAUAGGCUAUCCCAACUAACGGCGGGAAAGACUCCACGGAGGGUGUAAGACCCGUGUGGGCGCGUGUCAAAGCUGUGCAGGUUCGGCCUCUUUUCCCUGAGAGUCGCGUUGCUUGAGCAUGCAGCGCUAAGCAGGUCGUAAACUCGAUCUAAGGCUAAAUAUGUCCACAGAACCGAUAGCGAACAAGUACCGUGAGGGAAAGUUGAAAAGCACUCUGGAGAGAGAGUCAAAAGACCGUGAAACCGCUCAGAGUAUAAGCCCAUGGCAGCUUGGAAGGCAUGUCGCUAGCGGGGCAUCGGUACUCCCUUCUCCUCGGAGUUGGGAGCUGGUGUUACCUUGCUUCUGUUGUGGCUCGUCACGGUAGGGGGGUCAAGUCCACAUCCCGCCGUCGUGUGGGGAGUUGUUGGGCGUGUUGGGUUUUUCGGUUGACUUCGGUCGGUCGUUUAAGCACUUCGCGCGCGGUUCUCCUUGAUAUACACGGGCGUUCAGACUCAGAGGCAAGACGCGACAACAGCCCACCACGGCACGUUGUGAGGUCACCCACAGGCUCGAUUUAUGAUUGUGGUCCUUGACGCCGAGCAAGCACAAUGCGUGUCGCACAUGUUCCUAACCGGGUGGCAGCGGACAAUCCGCUGCUGUCAGGACUGUGGAAGGACACGCGCUCAAACGUCAGGACCGGGCAUUGGCAGAGUACUGGUACGAUCCUCUUGCGACGAGCCGGCUUCUGGCCGAGUUCCGAUGCUCAGGUCUCCCGCAUGUGCCGCGGGAGAUCGCCUUUGACGGUCUGGAUGCAAAUCCUCUCAGUCGGGCAACGGAUAGAGUGGUGUAAAGUCCAAGCCCAUCGGUCACGUCUCGAAACACGGGCCAAGGAGUAUAGCAUGUGUGCAAGUUUAAGGGUCUCCCAAAACCCGAAGGCAAAGUGAAAGCAAGUAAGCGGCGGGUGACCUAAAUAGAGACCCCGUCUGCUAGAAGGACAUGUCUUGUCGUUGUCGUCGUUGUUGUUGUUGUUGUUGUCGUUCUCCUUCGCGGGGGGGCGGUGGCGGCGGCGGCGGUGGUGGUGAUGGCAGGGCCUCUGUCUUUCCGGCUUUGGCAGAGUUGAUCCUGCAGCGGUAUCGCAGUGGUACGCUCAGGCGCAAACUCCAGGCUCACGUUUCGCACUGGUUCUCGGACUGUGCUGUGAGCACUGUGGAGCAUGCAUGCUAUGACCCGAAAGAUAGUGAACUAUGCUUGGCGAGGGCGAAGCCCCAGGAAACUGGGGUGGAGGCCCGUAGCCGUUGUGACGUGCAAAU
rnacentral:rRNA from 1 species